rnacentral:rRNA from 1 species
UUGCUUCUUGGGUGACGAGCGGCGGACGGGUGAGUAAUGCAUAGGAAUCUGCCCGAUAGUGGGGGAUAACCUGGGGAAACCCAGGCUAAUACCGCAUACGUCCUACGGGAGAAAGGGGGCUCCGGCUCCCGCUAUGGGAUGAGCCUAUGUCGGAUUAGCUAGUUGGUGAGGUAACGGCUCACCAAGGCAACGAUCCGUAGCUGGUCUGAGAGGAUGAUCAGCCACAUCGGGACUGAGACACGGCCCGAACUCCUACGGGAGGCAGCAGUGGGGAAUAUUGGACAAUGGGCGCAACCCUGAUCCAGCCAUGCCGCGUGUGUGAAGAAGGCCCUCGGGUUGUAAAGCACUUUCAGCGAGGAAGAACGCCUAGCGGUUAAUACCCGCUAGGAAAGACAUCACUCGCAGAAGAAGCACCGGCUAACUCCGUGCCAGCAGCCGCGGUAAUACGGAGGGUGCAAGCGUUAAUCGGAAUUACUGGGCGUAAAGCGCGCGUAGGUGGCUUGAUAAGCCGGUUGUGAAAGCCCCGGGCUCAACCUGGGAACGGCAUCCGGAACUGUCAAGCUAGAGUGCAGGAGAGGAAGGUAGAAUUCCCGGUGUAGC